rnacentral:rRNA from 1 species
UGGUUUAUUCAGCACGCGAAGAACUUACGGUCUUGACACCUCUGACACCCUAGAGAUAGGCUUUCCUUCGCAGAGUGACAGGUGGUGCAUGGUUGUCGUCAGCUCGUGUCGUGAGAUGUUGGGUUAAGUCCCGCAACGAGCGCACCCUUGAUCUUAGUUCCAGCAUUCAGUUGGGCACUCUAAGGUGACUGCCGGUGACAAACCGGAGGAAGGUGGGGAUGACGUCAAAUCAUCAUCCCCUUAUGACCUGGGCUACACACGUGCUACAAUGGACAGAACAAAGGGCUGCAAGACCGCAAGGUUUAGCCAAUCCCAUAAAUCUGUUCUCAGUUCGGAUCGCAGUCUGCAACUCGACUGCGUGAAGCUGGAAUCGCUAGUAAUCGCGGAUCAGCAUGCCGCGGUGAAUACGUUCCCGGGCCUUGUACACACCGCCCGUCACACCACGAGAGUUUGCAACACCCGAAGUCGGUGAGGUAACCUUUAUGGAGCCAGCCGCCGAAGGUGGGCAGAUGAUUGAA